CUGGCCACCUCUAAGGAGGCAGAACAAUUCUAAUCUUAUAAAAUUUAAACCUUUUUCUUCUUUUUUUUCCCCCCCACUCUCUCUUUUCAUUGAUUCUGUAAAAACUGUAGAAAUCAAUCAUCUGACUCUUUUGACUGAGCUUCCAAUAUUUAGUUAAAAUAAUAGGUUAAUUGAAGGCCUAAUAAUUAAUUUUAUCUCUUUUCUUAGGAAAACUUAAUCCCCUGGGCUUACUAAAACAAAAUAAAAUAAAUUAGUAAUUGUUCUGCUGUAGUGAACUUUUUUUUUUUUUUUUUUUUGCAUCUUCUAACAUACUCCCUCUAGAGUAAAUUCAGGCAGUCUAACAUCACCACUGCAAAUCCUCAUUCUUUUUUACUUUCUCACCCAAACUUACAAAAAAAAUCAGUAUAACAGUAAAUUAUUUCUUUAGCAUCAGUGACUAAUGUUAACAUCAAUUCCAGCAUUUCUCUCCAUCAGAAAUUUUCCAGAUUGUAAUAUAUGCAUCUGGACUGCAGUCUAAUGGAUGCAAAAGUUGAGUCAGGAUGGCUUCCCUGGCAAUAAGAAACCAGGAGAGGAAGAAGAAAAUGGGCCAUGCAUCUUCAGUAUCACGAAUUUCCUGUGUACUCUGCUUCCGCAAGUGACAGUCACUUUCCAGGGGACGCAGUGCAAUAAAUAAUGGUAACCCUGAAGUACAUCUGAAGUAAACCUUCCCAUCCUGCCUCAGAGACUCAUGCAGGUGAUAUUCGGUGCUUUGGACAGCUAACACAAUUUCUGCACACUUACAGCUUUUCCAUCAUUCUCAAAUUGAAAAUUCCAUGUAGUCAUUAUCAGUUUGGUUCAACAAAAUCACAGGAGAGGUUUUAAAGAAAAAAAGUUGGUUUGACUGCAAGAUAACUGUGCAGCUGUUGCUUCCCAUCUAGAAAAGGCAUUGAGGUGUUCUUACAUUGUGACAUAAUCCUCCAAGACCUUUGUUUUUUUUUCCCAAAAAUUUGGCAUUUUUUGUGCUGAGUGUGUUGCUGAAGAGUUCAUAGAAAAGGUUACCUAAUGGAAUUUUGGAUUUUUUUUUAAUGCUAGUGACCUUCUUUGGGUAAGGAUAAGUACAUACCUCCCUGGAAGGGAACCUGAUAGUGUAUAUAAAUUUAACAAUAUUUUCCUGAAAUGUUGCCUGUUGUAAGCUGACGUAAUCACAGUAUUUGCUGUUUUAUAAUUAAUAAACAAUAAUCAUUUUGAAGAUGGUUUCUCA
rnacentral:lncRNA from 1 species